rnacentral:rRNA from 1 species
UACGUAGGGUGCAAGCGUUAGUCGGAAUUACUGGGCGUAAAGCGUGCGCAGGCGGUUAUGUAAGACAGUUGUGAAAUCCCCGGGCUCAACCUGGGAACUGCAUCUGUGACUGCAUAGCUAGAGUACGGUAGAGGGGGAUGGAAUUCCGCGUGUAGCAGUGAAAUGCGUAGAUAUGCGGAGGAACACCGAUGGCGAAGGCAAUCCCCUGGACCUGUACUGACGCUCAUGCACGAAAGCGUGGGGAGCAAACAGG